GAACCCAAAGGCUCAGGUUUCUCUUUCAUUUUGCACCAGAAUUCGCCUUGGCACACCAAUAAAGUGCGGGAAAAUGGAGUAAAAAGUAUAAAAAACUAAUCAAGAAGUGCAAACAAUUGCGUUUGAGCCAGUUGCUGAUAGAGUACUAGCAAUGAUAGUUCUUUAGGUUCCCGCUCCUUAUCACCGACUGGAACCAGAAACCAUUAGAUUAUGCUAAGUGAAAUUGGGUAAACAAGCCAGCAGCAGCUGUCGACCGAUGGAUGAUAUAGGGUUACCGAGGUUCUGCGAAGCGGCGCAUAAUAUUCGCACAUGAUGGGCGACGCCACUUGAGCCGCAGGAAGUGCUUCAUCAAGCUCUGGGAUUUAUGCGGCGGGGGAGAAGGAAUUACACUCGUGUCAUUGCCUAAUUAUUAAUCGGACCCCGUUGGGGGGAAGUGAUUAUGCAUCACCAGCACUCACCUGACACUUCUUGCCCAGCAGCCUGAAGACGGCCUCGUUCUCCUCCUGGGUGAGCAGCGUGCUGGCGGCAUUGACCUUCGCCCGCGGACCGUCCUGCGACCUCAUACCGCUGCUCAUCUGGCCGGAGUCGAUGGAUCUGGGUCUGGAGCUGGAUCUGGGGAUCUGGGCUGGUUUCCCUGCACAGUGCGACACAACACGCUCGUUAUUGUAUGGCGAAAACAAUACGCAAAUGAACAAAAGCUAAAUGUAUUAAUUUAAUAUCACAAUACACAGGCGACCCCGAAAAAAGAAGGAUGAUAACAAUAAAGCCACUCAAAAUUACAGUCGAA